GGGGGCGUACCGGUUUCGACGAGGGUGAAGAAGCCCUGGUGGCGUGUCGCUGGACUGAGAGACGGCGUUAAAAACAUCUCGGAACCCGUAAGUGCGAACGAUAACGCGCUUGCUCUCGCUGCUUAGUCGCAGUUAGGGAGCCGUCGAAGGCUAGAGCCCGUCAGCGCUCUACCGGAGGCGUCGUUGAGCUGACUGGCCUGAUCCCGCACGGUUCGGGGUGACGGCGAGAUAUUAGAACCGUUGGCGUCAUGGACAGCCUGCUCUUGGGCGAUUCGUGAUGCGACAACAAAACGAGAGCUACACACGUAGAAGCCAGCGUUAGCCGAACGCUUUCGGACGCGGGUUCGACUCCCGCCGCCUCCAUUU
rnacentral:tmRNA from 1 species